CGGUACAUAUACUAAAAUUGGAACGAUACAGAGAAGAUUAGCAUGGCCCCUGCGCAAGGAUGACACGCAAAAUCGUGAAGCGUUCCACAUUUUUUUCUAAUUUAAAAAAAACCUACGUAAGCAUACUACAUGUAUUUUUUUAAAUUAGAUUAGACCGUUGCACGAAUACUAACGAAAAGUGCGGAAUUCGUAUUCAUGUGUAAGCAGUGUUAACCACCUAUAUCUACACUACUUGUAUUACUGCAAUCACAGGUUACAAACGGUCAGUGUUCAAGAUAAGGAUGGCUAUCAUGGGGAUCUGGGAAGACGGAAACCAUUGAAGAUGCGAAGAUGGUCAAUUUAGGGAAAAAUUGCGCAAAGAGUAAUUCACAGGACACAGACCGUCAGAGUAAUUAUUAUGCUUUCUGUCGAGUUUUUCAACUUGGUUUUUUAAAAAAAGAAAAAAAUGUGGAACGCUUCACGAUUUUGCGUGUCAUCCUUGCGCAGGGGCCAUGCUAAUCUUCUCUGUAUCGUUCCAAUUUUAGUAUAUGUACCGCCGAAGCGAGUACAACGAUUUAAGUUUCAGGGACAGUAUAUAUACUGAGGUAUUAUUUCACAUCACAUAUUUGCGCCUUCGUGAUAGCUUACUUUGCAAAUCAAGUAAGGCAGGAGAGCCACAAAGUCGCUUCUAUAAGUUAUCAGUAUUUGAUAAAGUUUCCUCCGAGAAGCAGUAACGUGCAUAUUAUAAUUGUGCGGGACUAUUUACUGCGCUUAACACAGCAGGUCCGCUACCGCAGUCCCCGUUUUAAUGCUCUAGGUGCAUUUGCUGUAGACAUUUCGUUCAUGGCGAGAAUGUUGGUUAUGAUUUUGAUUCAUAUAGUAAUGUUGCUUCAGUUUGAUUAAAGCUUAGAAUUAGUGUAAAUGUGCGUCUAUCUACACAUAUUUAUCAGUCAUUGACAAAAGUAAUGAUCGCCGAAAUGGUAAAUCCUGCAGCAUACGUAAGCGUAAGCAACAUUUGAAUAUAUUGUGCAACUCCUCCUCAAGAAACAAACGAAGACCCAUGCGAUAGGAAUGUUGGUUGUUGAUGCUACAGAGUUUACCUAUUAGGCGAUCAUUACUUUUGUCAAUGACAAUGCAUAGCGAUAAAAAAUGAGUGACCGUCCAGUCACCUUUGGAAUUUUUGUUUA